GACGAACGCUGGCGGCGUGCUUAACACAUGCAAGUCGAACGCGCCUGUCCUCUGGGUUUCUGGGGGGUGGGUGAGUGGCGAACGGGUGAGUAACACGUGAGUAACCUGCCCCCUUCUUCGGGAUAACGGUCUGAAAGGGCUGCUAAUACCGGGUAUUCACUGGUCUCCGCAUGGGGUCUGGUGGAAAGGUUUUUUUCUGGUGGGGGAUGGGCUCGCGGCCUAUCAGCUUGUUGGUGGGGUGAUGGCCCACCAAGGCUUUGACGGGUAGCCGGCCUGAGAGGGUGACCGGUCACAUUGGGACUGAGAUACGGCCCAGACUACUACGGGAGGCAGCAGUGGGGAAUAAUGCACAAUGGGCGCAAGCCUGAUGCAGCGACGCCGCGUGAGGGAUGGAGGCCUUCGGGUUGUGAACCUCUUUCGCCCGUGGUCAAGCCGCGACGUGGGUCGUGGUGAGGGUAGUGGGUAAAGAAGCGCCGGCUAACUACGUG
rnacentral:rRNA from 1 species